rnacentral:rRNA from 1 species
CGGGUGAGUAACGCGUGAGGAACCUGCCUCAAAGAGGGGGACAACAGUUGGAAACGACUGCUAAUACCGCAUAGGCCCACGGCUCGGCAUCGAGCAGAGGGAAAAGGAGCAAUCCGCUUUGAGAUGGCCUCGCGUCCGAUUAGCUAGUUGGUGAGGUAAUGGCCCACCAAGGCGACGAUCGGUAGCCGGACUGAGAGGUUGAACGGCCACAUUGGGACUGAGACACGGCCCAG